CCUACUGGAGGCAGCAGUGAGGAAUAUUGGUCAAUGGGCGGAAGCCUGAACCAGCCAAGUAGCGUGCAGGAUGACGGCCCUACGGGUUGUAAACUGCUUUUAUACGGGAAUAACGCGCCUUACGUGUAGGGCUUUGCCUGUACCGUAUGAAUAAGUACCGGCUAAUUCCGUUCCAGCAGCCGCGGUAAUACGGAAGGUCCGGGCGUUAUCCGGAUUUAUUGGGUUUAAAGGGAGCGUAGGCCGCAUGUCAAGCGUGCUGUGAAAUGUCCGGGCUCAACCCGGGCCUUGCAGCGCGAACUGGCGUGCGUGAGUCCGCGGAAAGCAGGCGGAAUUCGUCGUGUAGCGGUGAAAUGCUUAGAUAUGACGAAGAACCCCGAUUGCGAAGGCAGCUUGCUGCAGCGGAACUGACGCUGAUGCUCGAAAGCGCGGGUAUCGAACAGGAUUAGAUACCCUAGUAGUC
rnacentral:rRNA from 1 species